UACGUAGGGGGCAAGCGUUGUCCGGAAUCAUUGGGCGUAAAGCGCGCGUAGGCGGCCCGGUAAGUCCGCUCUGAAAGUCCAGGGCUCAACCCUGGAAAGCGGGUGGAUACUGCCGGGCUAGAGUCCGGAAGAGGCGAGUGGAAUUGCUGGUGUAGCGGUGAAAUGCGUAGAGAUCAGCAGGAACACCCGUGGCGAAGGCGGCCCCCUGGGCCGUACCUGACGCUGAGGCGCGAAGGCUAGGGGAGCGAACGGG
rnacentral:rRNA from 1 species